rnacentral:rRNA from 1 species
UACGUAGGGUGCGAGCGUUGUCCGGAAUUAUUGGGCGUAAAGAGCUCGUAGGCGGUCUGUCGCGUCGAUCGUGAAAACUUGGGGCUUAACCCUGAGCUUGCGGUCGAUACGGGCAUGACUGGAGUUCGGCAGGGGAGACUGGAAUUCCUGGUGUAGCGGUGGAAUGCGCAGAUAUCAGGAGGAACACCGGUGGCGAAGGCGGGUCUCUGGGCCGAUACUGACGCUGAGAAGCGAAAGCGUGGGGAGCGAACAGG